rnacentral:rRNA from 1 species
CUAUCUGCCGUGGGCGUAAGAAGAUUGAAGAGAUUUGACCCUAGUACGAGAGGACCGGGUUGAACAAACCACUGGUGUAGCUGUUGUUCUGCCAAGAGCAUCGCAGCGUAGCUAAGUUUGGAAAGGAUAAACGCUGAAAGCAUCUAAGCGUGAAGCCAACUCUAAGAUGAAUCUUCUCUAAGCUCUCUAGAAGACUACUAGUUUGAUAGGCUGGGUGUGUAAUGGAUGAAAGUCCUUUAGCUGACCAGUACUAAUAGAGCGUUUGGCUUAUCUUUAAUAAAGCAU